UAGCCCCGGCGGCUGCAGGACGCGCGGAGGCCGGCCGGGCGGGAGGGGCGGGGCGGGCGCCGCUGUCCGCCGAGAGCUCGGACUUGUACA
rnacentral:sRNA from 1 species